rnacentral:rRNA from 1 species
UGCCAGCCGCCGCGGUAAUACGGAGGGUGCAAGCGUUGCUCGGAAUUACUGGGCGUAAAGCGCACGCAGGCGGUUCAGCAAGUCGGAUGUGAAAUCCCAGGGCUCAACCCUGGAACUGCAUCCGAAACUGCUGGACUUGAGUACGAGAGAGGGUGGCGGAAUUUAUGGUGUAGCGGUGAAAUGCAUAGAUACCAUAAAGAACACCGAUAGCGAAGGCAGCUUACUAGGCUGAGACUGACGCUGAGGCACGAAAGCGUGGGGAGCGAACAGGAUUAGAUA